UUCAUAAGCUAAUUCACCUCCUUUAGAUAUUAGGUGUCCAUAAUAUGCUUAAUAAUAAUUUCAUGGAAGGCAUGAGAGACUUUAAAUUUCUAAUACUUAAAUGCACAAAGAACAAGGGCGUGCUGUAACCAUUUAGAGUUGUAGAUAUCUGGAUUAUUGAUUCUUGUCAAUUCCGCUGUUUAAAACUUAGUCCUUUUGCAGUAUGACUGUACACCUUGAGUGUCAAAAUGUGUACUUAUAUCCACACAAGUGUUUGGAGUAGAAUGCAGGUUAACAGAGCAGCCAUAUUAGUUGGUCUGAUCUUACUGUCCCAAUUGAAUAUGCAGAUACUAUCUCUAAAUCUAUGUUUUGCAUUUUGGAUAUUCAGUUCAGAUGGCUGGUACAAAUGGAAAUGGUGAUUCGAGGUCUAGAGCAGCUCCUUUUACGGGGGCAGUUGAUGGUUAUCUCUAUGUGAUCUUUACUGCCACUAACAUGCCACAGGCCCAUUCACCCUGGUUAUCUCUAUGUGAUCUUUUUACCACCCUUGGAUCUAGAUAUUCUCCUACCAGCGAACUGUUCCUAGAUCCAUCCUCAUCCACAGAACUUGAGAUAUGCUUGUGAAAUAUCUGUGCUAUGUUGUCAAUACAGUAUUCCAGUUAACUAUGACAAGGUGGAUUUAACGAUUUUGUAAUUUGGCCACGGCUUGCAGGCGCCGCCGCCAAGGAGCUCAGCAGGUUGCAGCGGUCGCCAUGGCAGGGGCAUCACCAAUCUCCUUUUCCUAACUAAAAGAGGGGAAAUGCACGUUGGUAGUUGGGAGGAAUUUUGUAGAUAAUGAGAGGAGAAAUGGAUACUUCAACCAUGAAAGGAGGAGGACAAUCGAUAGGGGGAGGCAUGCAGGCAAGGAGGAGAGCAUCGGACAAACAGUUUGUUUUGUCUCCGAACUUGACCACACAGUGAUGCUUCCUAAGAGCCUAUCAAAAUCCAUGUACGUCACUACCAAGAAACUGAGCCAGAGAUCCUGACAAUGGCGACAAGCCUGCUGCCCAAGCUGUACCAAGAAACCAUCACCCGCUGCAUUCGAGAAAAUUGAACAAUGCAAGUAGUAAUCAAAUUUACUGCCUGCAAGAUCACUAAAUCAUGAAAAUUCAGGUCAAUUCCUGCUGAUCCAGGCACUAACUGAACUUCCAGGCACCAUUUCAAAACAUUCCGUUGCAUUAUCAACAGCUGCAUUCAGUUUACGAUUUUAACUUCCUUAUCGUAAGGGAGGUGGUUAUCAUACAGGAACAUCAACGAGUAUAGAACUAUGUAGAUGCAAAGUUCUACUCCAGUUUUGCUGCC